rnacentral:rRNA from 1 species
GUGAGGAAUAUUGGUCAAUGGGCGGGAGCCUGAACCAGCCAAGUCGCGUGAAGGAAGAAGGAUCUAUGGUUCGUAAACUUCUUUUGCAGGGGAAUAAAGUGCAGGACGUGUCCUGUUUUGUAUGUACCCUGAGAAUAAGGAUCGGCUAACUCCGUGCCAGCAGCCGCGGUAAUACGGAGGAUCCGAGCGUUAUCCGGAUUUAUUGGGUUUAAAGGGUGCGUAGGUGGUUUGAUAAGUCAGCGGUGAAAGUUUGCAGCUUAACUGUAAAAAUGCCGUUGAAACUGUCGGACUUGAGUUUAAAUGAGGUAGGCGGAAUGCGUGGUGUAGCGGUAAAAUGCAUAGAUAUCACGCAGAACUCCGAUUGCGAAGGCAGCUUACUAAGCUACAACUGACACUGAAGCACGAAAGCGUGGGGAUCAAACAGGAUUAGAAACCCGAGUAGUCC